rnacentral:lncRNA from 1 species
AUUGCGCAACAUAACUCUAGAAGUAAAAACAUCUUUGUACCAUCUAAAGUCACUUAGAGUGGGACAAGUGAGAUUACUUAACUGAUCGUGAAUUCUCUCAGUAAUAUUACUGGGGGUGCCAACAAAAUGUUUUAUUAUGGUAAAUAUUAGUGUAUUUACUCCAUCUGGCGGACCAACUCCAACAUCUUCAUCGAAGGCUGGGUUGCCGUCCUCGUCUAACUGGACAGCAUGGAUUAUUGAUAUUCUAG